AACGAACGCUGGCGGCAUGCCUAACACAUGCAAGUCGAACGAGACCUUCGGGUCUAGUGGCGCUCGGGUGCGUAACGCGUGGGAACCUGCACUUGGGUUCGGAAUAACUCCCCGUGGGGUGUCCUAAUACCGCUUAAUCUCUUCGGACCAAAGAUUUAUCGCCUUUGGAUGGGCGCGCGUCGGAUUCGCCAGUUGGUAGGGUAAAAGCCUGCCAUGGAGACGUUGCAGAGCUGGUCUGAGAACAGGAUCAGCCACACUGGAACUGAGACACGGCCUAGACUGGUACGGGAGGGAGCAGUAGGGAAUAUAGGAGGAUGGGGGCAAGUGUGACACAGCAACGUCGCGGAAGUGAGGCAGGCCUUAGGGAUGUAAAGCUCUUUUACACGGGACGAUAAUGACAGUACCGGGAGAAUAAGCACCGGCUAACUACGUG
rnacentral:rRNA from 1 species